AAUUUUCCCACAACAAAAACGGGUCUUCCAAACUUGAGCGCCAAUUUCAAUUUUUGUCAAAUUUUAAGAAAACUUGAAUUUCCCUCUCACUGCUAAUUAACCAACCCGCUGCAACUCGUCCAUCCCUCCCAACCAACGUAAAACCACGGAAACAACCCACCUCAAAUAUUCGUACACCCACACAUCUAAUUUCCGUCAAAACAUAAACUAAGUUGGCACCUUUAGCUCACCUCAAAUUUUCAUAAAAUUUAAAUUUCCCUCCCUAGUGUAUACGGCAUUACACGCUGCAAACAUUCCUCUUGAUCUUAUUUCUUCCUUUUGCAUCUAGGUUUCAAAGUAUCAGCCUAGGAGUUACCAGCACCACACACGCCUUCUCCUGGUCUCCACACCGUUCGAAACCAGCCUCCAUCUAUGAUGCUCUGUUUUGCUGCCCAAAAACAGAGUUUUUUUGACUGAAAACGCACUGCCCUGAAGCCACUGGCCCGCUGGUUGCUGCUGCUGCAAACGACGCCUUUGACGACAGUAGAAUAUGAUGCUCAUGCAACUUGAUGGGGGGAAGAUGAAGUGGCAUGGGUAGAAUGCACUCACUUUGUCCAGCUGUGUGGUCAAAGCAUAGACAAGGGAUUGAAAAAAAUGUAAAAGGAAGAUUACAUAACUCGUUGUGUAGUUAUCAAGUAACAUGGAGGCUCAACAAUUGCACCACAAUUUCAAAGAACUAUUGGAUAAAUGUGAAGAACUACCUAUGAAAGAAAUGCUUCUAAAGCUAAUGACAAACAAAACGUGAAGAAGAAGAAUUAUCCAUGGGGAACUUUUAUGUGUUUUGAUUUGUAAUUUUUUUAUUAUAUGAAUAGUGGCCCAUUAUAUUAUAUUUAUUAUUAAUUAAUAUAUUAUAUAUUUUUUAUUGUGGGAUAUCAUAUUAUUGGUAUGUCCUAAAUUUUGUUAAUUAAUGCAAAGCACUGGUAAUAUAUUUGUAGUGGUGUUUAUAUUAAUGUCAUUAAUUUAAAAAAU